GGGGGGUAUAAAGCUCGCGGCUGCAUCGCUCCUGUCAUUCAUCCGACUCCCCGAGAGAACCAGAGCCGAGCGCAGCAGCAGCAGCAACAACGAGCCCAGACUUCGACCUCUCUCUCCCGCCAACAUGACUAGGACGUGUCUCUCUUACCUCGGAGCCCUCCUGCUGGCUCUCCAUCUUAUCUCGUCGCAGGUGGUCCAAGCCCAGAACGUGACUGCCUCUCCCACGAACACGACCACGCCCGGCGAUGUGAUGGUGACCACCACGCUCCCAGCGAAAGGCUGCGGGACGAUCGCCGCCUUCACGCUGAUGCUGCCGCUGGCGGCUGCGGCCUCUUUGCUCCACAUUUGGUCCUAAGGACCGGGCUGAUGUUUGCGCCACGCGCACGGCCAAGACUGCGGGACUGGGCAUGCGACGUUACACAAGAGCAACACACGAAUUUUUGUUUCCCCUCCUUUCUCUAACUUUUGGAAUUGGUUUCGAAGCGGCGCGCACUUCCACAGCUCUGUCUUCGUUUCACCUUUACGCACCGCGGGGACGCGCCCUGCUGCGCUUUGCUGGGACUGUGACAAUCGCCCUUGUCCGGGAAACCGCCAGCCUCUUGGUUUAGUCUGUUGUGACUGGGGGUGGGAGAUGAAGAGGAUGAUGAUGGUGGCACUGCGCUCUUUAAAUAUAAUGAAACGUGUUCUGAUGCUUGAUUCCAGGCUCUAAAGCCUAACUAUUAUUAUUAUAAGCAUGUUUAGAAAAGUUACAGUUUAGUCACUGGUGAUUUUUAGAUCUUAGCAUUUUUGUAACUCUAAUAAAAACAUUCAAUUAUAAGUGA